rnacentral:rRNA from 1 species
UACGAAGGGGGCUAGCGUUGCUCGGAAUCACUGGGCGUAAAGCGCACGUAGGCGGCUCUUUAAGUCAGGGGUGAAAUCCUGGAGCUCAACUCCAGAACUGCCUUUGAUACUGGGGAUCUCGAGUCCGGAAGAGGUGAGUGGAACUCCGAGUGUAGAGGUGAAAUUCGUAGAUAUUCGGAAGAACACCAGUGGCGAAGGCGGCGCACUGGUCCGGUACUGACGCUGAGGUGCGAAAGCGUGGGGAGCAAACAGG